UUUAACGGCAUGUAGAUAUGAGAUGAGAAGAAGAUAUUUUGUAAUGCAGUUCGCGCGGACUGAGUGAGCUAAGACAAGGAGUCAAACAGUGAAAAAUACACACAGUGACACGAAAUGAUUCCGAAAGGGUAAGGAACCCUGAAAAUACAUUUCCUUUAUGUCUUACUAGGUCCAAAAGAAUACAUUAUUACCCCGUAGUUCACGACACCCUAAAAUAUCACAGAAUUAAAAAGAUAUAUUAAAUUUUAUUGUAAAGUAUUUUUUUAAAUAAUGAAAGACUUCUCAUUUUGUCUAAUAUCUAAGGUACAAGAUUGUUAUCAAUACAAAGUACGACAAAACAUAUAAAUCAAAAGCCGAAGCCUUUCAAUAUUAUUAGUCUGAAAACAAACAGUUACAAAUGUUGUCGAUUCGAAACACAGAAAGCAAUGAUUUUGAGCGAGGAAGUGUGUUUUUAAAAGUCCAUUGCCUUCUGUUUUCUUGUUUUGUGACGAAAGAGAUAUUUGUUGAUAAUAGUUAUUUUGUGUAAUAGGUUCCAAGCUAUAAACGAAGAUGAUACUAGAGAGGCUAAAAAAGUCAAAAGCGUUUUACUUAAAAAACGGGACAAACCGAUUCCAGCCUGUAAAUUUCAAUGAUUCACAAAACUAAGAAAUAAAAACAAAAAAGAAGUGUGUGUGAUCUUCCUUACCGAGCGUCGCCAUUGAGGAAGAAAGAAAUUAUCUUCUCUCAGUUCCUCAUUAAAGUUAGUUUUUGUCAAACUGCCCAACAUUUCGACGGCGAUGACUACAUUCGUAAAGAACCUCUUGUACCUGUCUGUGUUUAUUUUAUUACAGCAGCCAACGCAUACGCCACCGAGUCAACAAACAUGUGCCGCCUUAGAUCUUGUAGAAAUGGGGUCUGAGCCCAUCGAAGCUGAAGAGGACAGUUUUGUAAACAUAACCUUUGAACUUAAAACUGAGAAGUGUACGUAUAACCCAAAGAUGUUCCUCGUGACACUGUCGUCUUUUGAGGAAGAAAAGCAAACCUCCUGUCUGUACAGUAGUCUUCAAACUCAGGACAUGCAGUGUCGGGUACUUGAUGUAUUCUUGCGGCUGUACUCAGAUCGAGCGACUUGAUUGGUUGGUUCUACAUUAAGGUAAUGAAAGGUUUGACAAAAGUCCGUCUAGAGUGGACAGACUCCAGCAGACUUGCCACUGAAAGAGAAAAACAAUUUUUGUCACCGUUACUCCAACGACAGGCAAUGUACUUGUAAUCAGCCUGUCUCUCCUGUGUUCGGCAAUUGGUCAUCAUUGUCGUUAUUGCUCUCGUGACGAGGAAACAAUGGAAACACAAAGGUUUGCACUUGUGUGUGUAGGGGGGAAUAUGUGUGCUCAUGGGUAUGUGUUUUCUUGUUUUCUUUAUUCAAGCUAUCGCUCUUUUUUUCACAAAACUACAGUCUUCACCUGGUUAUAAUUAAAUAGCAUUGACUUCUAAAGCCCAACCUUUGUCGUCGUGAGAGACAGAAGUUGACUAAAGAGAUUUUAUUCUAAAAGAAAGCCGGCUUAUGGAUAUCUAGUAAAUUUUGGAACUAGCCUAGCAAAAAAUGUUACAAGUAUUUUCCGUUAAAGAAGUAGGCAAAGCAAAGGAUUGGUCAAAAAGCGCAGAAACAAUGAGUGUAGAAGCAUAUGAAUAUUAUAAUUAAUUUGUUAAUUUAUUAAUUUUAAUAUUAUGAUUAAUUUGUGGGGACUUGGUCAAAACAGUCAUUCAGCGACAUCUAGUCAUUGGAAUUCCCGAUUGCAAAACACAGAGAGUCCUUAAAUAUACUCCUGUAAUUUUCUGUUUCCGUUUAGAGUUUACUAUAUACUAGGGCAUAAGAAGUGACAAAUGAUAAACAUGAUAGUUUUGUGUUUUAACCCCGCUUUACUGGUAUUGAGAUUGUUUCUUACUAUUUCUGUUUGUCUGAGACACAUGAUGCCUAGCUUCACAAAAUGCGGCAGAAAUGUCUUCAGAAAAGACUUUGCCAAGACAAACAUUAAAUAUUUUAAAUAAAUUAGAAGAGGAACGAAUGAAAAACUCUGCGAUCUUAUCGGUCUGAAACAGAAGAAUAAAACAUUCUAAGUAGCGAUGUGUGAUUUUAAAAGUCGAGUAUGUUUUUUAAGAUGAUAUGCUUUGUUGCCUCCUCUUAUCGCCUUACCUACAUGACCAGUUAGCCAAGUGCUUGCUAUUCUGAUCAAGUAGCAACACACAUGUGUCUGGCGAACUGUGAUAUUCUAUGAACUGCGAUGUUAGCAGCCUACGAAGACUUCGUCAAGGCAUCGAGAUCAUGUAAGUCUGCUUAAAAAAAUUUGCUGGUAAAAAUAUUUUUUUCUCGCAAAGUGUAACACACCAGAAACCUUGCAUAAAUUCUCAUGAAAGAAAGUAUACAACAUACAUGAAAAUGCUGUGAUUAAAAGUUUUAGCGAUUAUUUUGGAGACUGCUUGAAUGUAUAAAUUGCAAUCAGUUAAGCUGCAUAAGAUGAUAAUCUCUUUAUUUUAACAUUUUUGAAUCAGGUGUUGCUGUACAGACCCUCGAGGCAAGAUAAUGAAAGAAAAUGAAGGUUUCGUCUACAUCACCUUUACGUUAACAACAGACAACUGUACCACGUGCUAAUUGUUUACGAGUUAAAGUAGCAGCACAUGAGGCAGAAAAUCAUUUGAUUUUCUCUAACGAUGCUGGUAUUUUAAAAUAUGACUACAGGUUUCUGAACUUAGAAAAUUUUAAUUUUAAUUGUUUUCUUUCUUUUUCCGCUAUUUUUUUUUUAGCUAUCCCUCAUGUUUUUGUGAGGUUAAAGCUUUAAUCGUUAAAUAGCGAUUUAUGAAGGGAUUUAAAACAAAAUUGUUAGGACAGAUAUAAAGAACCAUUCAGAUUGCUAAUUACUUUUUGUAUGUUGUUGAUGACCCUAAUAUUCCUGUCUUCAUGCUGCAGAUACAUACC